rnacentral:rRNA from 1 species
UACGGGGGGAGCAAGCGUUGUUCGGAUUUACUGGGCGUAAAGGGCGCGUAGGCGGUCGUGACAAGUCACUUGUGAAAUCUCCGGGCUUAACUCGGAACGGUCAAGUGAUACUGUCGGACUAGAGUACAGAAGGGGCAACUGGAAUUCUCGGUGUAGCGGUGAAAUGCGUAGAUAUCGAGAGGAACACCGGUGGCGAAGGCGGGGUCUCUGGGCAGUAACUGACGCUGAGGAGCGAAAGCGUGGGGAGCGAACAGG